GAUGAAGAACGCAGCGAAAUGCGAUAAGUAGUGUGAAUUGCAGAAUUCAGUGAAUCAUUGAAUCUUUGAACGCACAUUGCGCCCUUUGGUAUUCCAAAGGGCAUGCCUGUUCGAGCGUCAUUUGUACCCUCAAGCUUUGCUUGGUGUUGGGCGUCUUGUCUCUAGCUUUGCUGGAGACUCGCCUUAAAGUAAUUGGCAGCCGGCCUACUGGUUUCGGAGCGCAGCACAAGUCGCACUCUCUAUCAGCAAAGGUCUAGCAUCCAUUAAGCCUUUUUUUCAACUUUUGACCUCGGAUCAGGUAGGGAUACCCGCUGAACUUAAGCAUAUCAAUAAGCGGAGGA
rnacentral:misc_RNA from 1 species